GAUGAACGCUGGCGGCGUGCCUAAUACAUGCAAGUCGAGCGAACGGACGAGAAGCUUGCUUCACUGAUGUUAGCGGCGGACGGGUGAGUAACACGUGGAUAACCUACCUAUAAGACUGGGAUAACUUCGGGAAACCGGAGCUAAUACCGGAUAAUAUUUUGAACCGCAUGGUUCAAAAGUGAAAGACGGUCUUGCUGUCACUUAUAGAUGGAUUCGCGCUGCAUUAGCUAGUUGGUAAGGUAACGGCUUACCAAGGCAACCAUGCAUAGCCGACCUGAGAGGGUGAUCGCCCACAUCGGAACUGGGAAACGGUCCCGACCCCGACGGGAGGCCGCAGGAGGAAAUCUCCCGGAAUGGGCCAAAGCCUGACGGAGCAACGGCGCGUGAGUGAUGAAGGUUUUGGUCUCGUAAAACUCUUUUUUGAGGUAAGAACAUUGUUGUAAGUAACUGUGCCCCUCUUGACGGGACCUAAUCAGAAAGCCCCGGCUAACCACGU
rnacentral:rRNA from 1 species